GAUUCUUCGGAUGAAGAUCCUGGUGACUGAGUGGCGGACGGGUGAGUAACGCGUGGGUAACCUGCCUCAUACAGGGGGAUAACAGUUAGAAAUGAUUGCUAAUACCGCAUAAGACCACAGCACCGCAUGGUACAGGGGUAAAAACUCUGGUGGUAUGAGAUGGACCCGCGUCUGAUUAGGUAGUUGGUGGGGUAACGGCCUACCAAGCCGACGAUCAGUAGCCGACCUGAGAGGGUGACCGGCCACAUUGGGACUGAGACACGGCCCAAACUCCUACGGGAGGCAGCAGUGGGGAAUAUUGCGCAAUGGGGGAAACCCUGAUGCAGCGACGCCGCGUGAGCGAUGAAGUAUUUCGGUAUGUAAAGCUCUAUCAGUAGGGAAGAAAAUGACGGUACCUGACUAAGAAGCACCGGCUAAAUACGUGCCAGCAGCCGCGGUAAUACGUAUGGUGCAAGCGUUAUCCGGAUUUACUGGGUGUAAAGGGAGCGUAGACGGAGUGGCAAGUCUGAUGUGAAAACCCGGGGCUCAACCCCGGGACUGCAUUGGAAACUGUCAAUCUAGAGUACCGGAGAGGUAAGCGGAAUUCCUAGUGUAGCGGUGAAAUGCGUAGAUAUUAGGAGGAACACCAGUGGCGAAGGCGGCUUAC
rnacentral:rRNA from 1 species